UGGGGAAUUUUCCGCAAUGGGCGAAAGCCUGACGGAGUGACGCCGCGUGGGGGACGAAGGCCUUCGGGUCGUAAACCCCUGUCAGAGGGAAAGAAGGGUCGCCGACCUAACACGUCGGUGAUCUGACGGUACCUUCAGAGGAAGCCCCGGCCAACUCUGUGCCAGCAGCCGCGGUAAGACAGAGGGGGCAAGCGUUGCUCGGAAUCACUGGGCGUAAAGGGCGCGUAGGCGGGAUGGCAAGUCAGUCGUGAAAUCUCUCGGCUCAACCGAGAAACGUCGGCUGAUACUGCCGUUCUUGAGGGAUGCAGAGGAGACUGGAAUUCCCGGUGUAGCGGUGAAAUGUGUAGAGAUCGGGAGGAACACCGGUGGCGAAGGCGGGUCUCUGGGCAUUUCCUGACGCUGAGGCGCGAAAGCGUGGGGAGCAAACGGG
rnacentral:rRNA from 1 species